rnacentral:rRNA from 1 species
UUUCUGCCCAGUGCUCUGAAUGUCAAAGUGAGGAGAUUCAACUAAGCGCGGGUAAACGGCGGGAGUAACUAUGACUCUCUUAAGGUAGCCAAAUGCCUCGUCAUCCAAUUAGUGACGCGCAUGAAUGGAUUAAUGAGAUUCCUACUGUCCCAAUCUACUGUCCAGCGAAACCACAGCCAAGGGAACGGGCUUGGGUGAGUCAGCGGGGAAAGAAGACCCUGUUGAGCUUGACUCUAAUCCGACUUUGUGAAAUGACUUAGGAGGAGUAGGAUAUGUGGGAGCUCAGGUGAUCUUGAAAUACCACUACUUUUAAUGUCACUUUACUUACUCUAUCCAACUGUGCCCUGCCUCACAGCAGGUUUUUGCUUUUAAGGUUGCUCUUUUGGCGUGUUGAUUUGCGUAGAAGACGUCGUCCGGUGGGGAGUUUGGCUGGGGCGGCACAUCUGUUAAAGGAUAACGCAGGUGUCCUAAGGUGAGCUCAAUGAGAACAGAAAUCUCAUGCGGAUCAAAAGGGGAAACGCUUGCUUGAUUUUGCUUUUCAGUGUGAAGAUAAACUGUGCAAACAUGGCCUAUUGAUCCUUUAGGGCUGAAGGAGGUUCAAAUAGAGGUGUCAGAAAAGUUACCACAGGGAUAACUGGCUUGUGGCA